rnacentral:rRNA from 1 species
GGCGGCCUCGUCGUCCGAGUUGUAAUUUGAAGAAGGUAUCUUUGGGUCUGGCGCUUGUCUAUGUUCCUUGGAACAGGACGUCACAGAGGGUGAGAAUCCCGUGCGAUGAGCAGUCCAGAUCCGUGUAAAGUUCCUUCGAAGAGUCGAGUUGUUUGGGAAUGCAGCUCUAAGUGGGUGGUAAAUUCCAUCUAAAGCUAAAUAUUGGCGAGAGACCGAUAGCGAACAAGUACAGUGAUGGAAAGAUGAAAAGAACUUUGAAAAGAGAGUGAAAAAGUACGUGAAAUUGUUGAAAGGGAAGGGCUUGCGAUCAGACUUGGUAUUUUGUAUGUCUUGCUUUCGGGCGGGGCCUCUGCAGUUUACUGGGCCAGCAUCGGUUCGGGUGGCAGGACAAUUGCGGAGAAAUGUGGCACGGCCUCGGCUGUGUGUUAUAGUCUCUGUCGAUACUGCCUGCCUGGACCGAGGACUGCGUCUUACGACUAGGAUGCUGGCAUAAUGAUCGUAAGCCGCCC